rnacentral:rRNA from 1 species
GUGGCGAACGGGUGAGUAACACGUGAGUAACCUGCCCUUGACUCUGGGAUAAGCGUUGGAAACGACGUCUAAUACCGGAUAUGACCUCCGACCGCAUGGUCUGGGGGUGGAAAGAAUUUUGGUCAAGGAUGGACUCGCGGCCUAUCAGGUAGUUGGUGAGGUAAUGGCUCACCAAGCCGACGACGGGUAGCCGGCCUGAGAGGGUGACCGGCCACACUGGGACUGAGACACGGCCCAGACUCCUACGGGAGGCAGCAGUGGGGAAUAUUGCACAAUGGGCGAAAGCCUGAUGCAGCAACGCCGCGUGAGGGAUGACGGCCUUCGGGUUGUAAACCUCUUUUAGUAGGGAAGAAGCGAAAGUGACGGUACCUGCAGAAAAAGCACCGGCUAACUACGUGCCAGCAGCCGCGGUAAUACGUAGGGUGCAAGCGUUGUCCGGAAUUAUUGGGCGUAAAGAGCUCGUAGGCGGUUUGUCGCGUCUGCUGUGAAAUCUGGGGGCUCAACCCCCAGCCUGCAGUGGGUACGGGCAGACUAGAGUGCGGUAGGGGAGAUUGGAAUUCCUGGUGUAGCGGUGGAAUGCGCAGAUAUCAGGAGGAACACCGAUGGCGAAGGCAGAUCUCUGGGCCGUAACUGACGCUGAGGAGCGAAAGCAUGGGGAGCGAACAGGAUUAGAUACCCUGGUAGUCCAUGCCGUAAACGUUGGGAACUAGAUGUAGGGGCCAUUCCACGGUUUCUGUGUCGCAGCUAACGCAUUAAGUUCCCCGCCUGGGGAGUACGGNCGCAAGGCUAAAACUCAAAGGAAUUGANGGGGCCCGCACAAGCGGCGGANCAUGCGGAUUAAUUCGAUGCAACGCGAAGAACCUUACCAAGGCUUGACAUA